AGAGUAAUCUGGAUUCAUACUGUGGGACUAAAUAUUUUUUUAAAAAGCACAGAAUGAGUGAUGAGGCUGGUCUCAGUUCUUUGAGGGAUUCUGCUCAACUAAAAAGUGCUGCUUGAGGAGACGUGACUAGACGGUGCGCCCUUCCUGCGCUGUUGUGGUGGGUACACGUUAUCCACCACGUCAACACCAACAGCCUUGUUGUGACGUCAUCAGUGGACACUAAUAGGCAGUCAGGCCACAAUCUCAGUUUACCUACCCUGGUAAACAUACCCCAGUAACAUGAAAGACGUUUAGAAACACAGGAGCCGGAGGAGAAGAAAUACACAUCUCCACGAACAGCAAUAGGCUGGCUGCUGUGACCAAGUUCAAGAAAGGAGACAGAGAAAUAAUAGAUAUUAUCACACGGUGGUGCUGUCUAUGUGCUGAGUUUUAUGGCCUGCGUGGUACUUCAAUGCUGGAGUCAGCUGUGUUAAGGUCUGGAGCCCUGUUACAGAUACUGAUGUUUGGAACACAGGGCUGAGAUUGGAGAUGUACAUAUGAAAACAACGGGAAGUGCAUCUUGGAGCCAUCCUAAAGCCAGGUGCAGGAGACAAGCCCGGCCAAGUCAGAGUUGAAAGCAAUUCCUCCGAACUCCACCUGGUGAACCCUGAGGAAAUCCUGUAGUUCCCUGCUUUCUUGGGUCCCCUGGGAGCCUCCUGCUGUGGGAGUCUGUCCAGCUGUGAAGAUCAGUGGGAAACAGAUGCUGUGUACAGCCCUGGUCAGCCACCAACAGAUGAGAAGGGCAGCGCCAAGCCCGCUCCCUGGAAGGAAAGAAACAGAUGUGACUCUUGAGCACAGAUAUGUCGACUUCAAAGCAGGGAACAUCCACCGCUAAUGAUUGGAUGGGCCUGCCUGCCGCGGGUAAGUGGCCCUGGCCACACACCUGUGGAGAGGGCCACCUCUGUGUUCUCUUGUUUUCUGCAGCUUCAGGGAGUGGCUCUGUGGAGAAGCAGGGCAGGGCAGCAGAGCCUGUGUAGUCUUUAGAAACAUCUGCUCUAGAGAGUCAUGGAAGACUUGCUGCCAUGGACAGGGCUGUAUGUAUGGGAUAUUUUUUCUGUGUGCAUGUCUAUGCACCACACAUUGGCAUGCUGCUGGAGGAGACUGGAAGAUGUUGGGUCUCUUGUAACGGGAGCACAGGUGGUUGUGAACCACCAUGUGGGUGCUGGGAAUCAAACCCAGGUCCUCUGGAAGAGCAACCAGUGUU